GUGGGAGCCAUAAGGGUCUGUGCUGUCUCUGAGCACCAUCUCUUCUGUUCCCCAGGAUCC
ensembl:miRNA